GCCCGGCUAGCUCAAUCGGUAGAGCGUGAGACUCUUAUAUACCAUGGGUACUCUGCCCUCCAAAAUGUACAGACCAUCUCAAGGUUGUGGGUUCGACCCCCACGUCGGGCU